CAGGAAAUGCCUUUUGGGAAAGUGAAAAUGCAACAGACUUUGCAGAAUUAAGCAACUGGUGGAUAGAUAUGCAACUACUGGAUGCAAUUACAACGACGUUGCAUUGGCCUCCGCUUGAAAAUACAACUAAGAGUCUGCAAAACGCAAUGCUCAGAUUUCGACCACUCGAGUUUGAUUCAGCCACAUCCUGCCCCCCGUUGAUCGGAUUUUGGCCAGGUGACAGUUCCGUCUCCAUUCCUCUGAGUCGUUCACCUGGACAGAACAUUACAUACGAG